rnacentral:misc_RNA from 1 species
UUAUCUCAGUAGCAGAAAUUCAAGCCUCGAAUAAAAAAUUCUUAUACUACAAUCAUAAACGGAUCAAAAAUUUCAAGUCUCCGAAGCUAAUUAGAACAGAAAACCCGAAAAAAGCUAUUACCAACAAGCGACUCUCCGCCAUAGACGCCUAAAACUCUUCGAUCAACGAUAAGAUUUCUGGAAUCUAGCACGAGCUCCACGACCACCAAACUUCUUCGGCUCACAGCGUCUGGGAUCAGCGACGAGCAAAGUCCGAUCGUAGCGGACGAGGAUGUCCUUGAUCUCCUUCUUGCUCUGUUCGUCGACGUACUUCUGGUAAAAGGCGACGAGAGCCUUAGCGAUGCUCUGGCGGAUGGCG